GAAGCUGGAAUCGCUAGUAAUCGCGGAUCAGAAUGCCGCGGUGAAUACGUUCCCGGGUCUUGUACACACCGCCCGUCACACCAUGGGGGUCGGAAAUGCCCGAAGUCUGUGACCCAACCGGAAGGAGGGAGCAGCCGAAGGCAGGUCGGAUGACUGGGGUAAAGUCGUAACAAGGUACC
rnacentral:rRNA from 1 species